GUUAAUUUUGUGUGAUCCAGUGUGGCUUCCCCUGGUACACUCUGUCCUAAUGUUCUUGCAGACAUAGCCCAAGUGGGAGACACCGAUGCAGAAGAUCAGCAAAACUUUGAUAGUAAUGAAUGUUUUCCAGAUGCUUUUGAAGUACAGCAGUGGGAGGUCAGAAAGGAAUCUAGCACUGAAACUCCUGUGCUCAAUGUGCUGUUCCUAGCCCCACCUGAAUCAUCAGAUGAAGAUGUUGUCAUCAUAAAAAAGAAGAGGAAGAAAAAGAAGAGGCACUACUACUGAUAAAACGUCUCCAGUAUUGCCCUAGAUGACUGACACCAUGGCUCCCAAAGAAGAUAUUCCAAUAUUGGCCACAGUACAAUUAUAUUCAUGGAAGCGACCUCGACAACAUCGGUCUUCACCACCACCACCAGUUUGGGGACAGAAUGAAUCAAGCCG